rnacentral:rRNA from 1 species
UGGCAUACGGCUCAGUAACACGUAGUCAACAUGCCCAGGGGACGUGGACAACCUCGGGAAACUGAGGCUAAACCGCGAUAGGCCAAGAUUUCUGGAAUGGAUCAUGGCUUAAAUCUAUAUGGCCCCUGGAUUGGACUGCGGCCGAUCAGGCUGUUGGUGAGGUAAUGGCCCACCAAACCUGUUACCGGUACGGGCUCUGAGAGGAGAAGCCCGGAGAUGGGCACUGAGACAAGGGCCCAGGCCCUAUGGGGCGCAGCAGGCGCGAAACCUCUGCAAUAGGCGAAAGCCUGACAGGGUUACUCUGAGUGAUUUUCGUUAAGAAAGUCUUUUGGCACCUCUAAAAAUGGUGCAGAAUAAGGGGUGGGCAAGUCUGGUGUCAGCCGCCGCGGUAAUACCAGCACCCCGAGUGGUCGGGACGAUUAUUGGGCCUAAAGCAUCCGUAGCCGGUUCUGCAAGUCUCCCGUUAAAUCCAACUGCUUAACAGAUGGGCCGCGGAGGAUACUAUAAGACUAGGAGGCAGGAGAGGCAAGCGGUACUCAGUGGGUAGGGGUAAAAUCCGUUGAUCCAUUGAAGACCACCAGUGGCGAAGGCGGUUUGCCAGAACGCGCUCGACGGUGAGGGAUGAAAGCUGGGGGAGCAAACCGGAUUAGAUACCCGGGUAGUCCCAGCUGUAAACGAUGCAGACUCGGUGAUGGGUUGGCUUCGAGCCAACCCAGUGCCGCAGGGAAGCCGUUAAGUCUGCCGCCUGGGGAGUACGGUCGCAAGACUGAAACUUAAAGGAAUUGGCGGGGGAGCACCACAAGGGGUGAAGCCUGCGGUUCAAUUGGAGUCAACGCCGGGA